rnacentral:rRNA from 1 species
GGGGGUAGCUUGCUACCUGCCGGCGAGUGGCGAACGGGUGAGUAAUACAUCGGAACGUGCCCUGUAGUGGGGGAUAACUAGUCGAAAGACUGGCUAAUACCGCAUACGACCUGAGGGUGAAAGUGGGGGACCGCAAGGCCUCAUGCUAUAGGAGCGGCCGAUGUCUGAUUAGCUAGUUGGUGGGGUAAAGGCCCACCAAGGCGACGAUCAGUAGCUGGUCUGAGAGGACGAUCAGCCACACUGGGACUGAGACACGGCCCAGACUCCUACGGGAGGCAGCAGUGGGA